rnacentral:rRNA from 1 species
GAUGAACGCUGGCGGCGUGCCUAAUACAUGCAAGUCGAACGAAACUUCUUUAUCACCGAGUGCUUGCACUCACCGAUAAAGAGUUGAGUGGCGAACGGGUGAGUAACACGUGGGCAACCUGCCCAAAAGAGGGGGAUAACACUUGGAAACAGGUGCUAAUACCGCAUAACCAUAGUUACCGCAUGGUAACUAUGUAAAAGGUGGCUAUACUACCGCUUUUGGAUGGGCCCGCGGCGCAUUAGCUAGUUGGUAGGGUAAAGGCUUACCAAGGCAAUGAUGCGUAGCCGAAUUGAGAGGUUGAUCGGCCACAUUGGGGCUAAGACACGGCCCAUACUCCUCCGGGAGGCAGCAGUAGGGAAUCUUACACAAUGGGCGAAAGCCUGAUGGAGCAACGCCGCGUGGGUGAAGAAGGUCUUCGGAUCGUAAAACCCUGUUGUUAGAGAAGAAAGUGCGUGAGAGUAACUGUUCACGUUUCGACGGUAUCUAACCAGAAAGCCACGGCUAACUACGUG